rnacentral:lncRNA from 10 species
AUGCGCCUGCCGCUGAGCGGACCUCUGGGACCUAGGGCUUCUGGACGCCGCCUUCGUUCUGGGCACCAUGUGUUCGGAGCACACCACGCGGUAUCAGGGUCACAGCUACAGAGAAGGAAGCAGAUGUUUGGUGAUUAGGGUCAUCCAGUGGGCUCAGGCUGACACCACACCGUGCCCUCCCCACUCAGUCCCCCAGCUUUCCAAAGGUGAGCAGGGCCUUGGUGUGUGAAUGACCCGGAGAGAUGGACUGGAUUCAUUGCCCUGAGCACCAAUGCCAGUGAGUGCCUGGCAGCCAGUAGGUAUUUGUUACAUUUUUUUUUUAAACUAAGUAAUGAUUUAGGUCUCCCUCCCUUCACCCAUGUUUGAUGUCGCUUUUAUAAUUUCGGGUUUGACUUCCAUGCAAUUUUAACUCCUUUCUCUUUGCAGAGAGAUGGGGAAAGUAAAUGAGGAAUCCUCCCAACCAGACACUCACUCUGUCAGGAAGGUAUUAGAAUCUUUAGAUGAGGACUCUAAAAUUCGGGAAAGUUAAGUCACUUAUCUAAAGACACAUAUCUACCGAAUGGCAGCGUGGGAUCUGAGCCACAUCUGCGCAAUGCGAGGGCGCGUGCUGUGCUAUCUGUAGCCUGCCCCAGAGUGUCAUGGAGAAAAGUGGAACCCUCAGGCAAGAUAGAAUAGGGUUGCAGCGGCCGGGCGCGGGGGCUCACGCCUGUAAUCCCAGCACUUUGGGAGGCCGAGGCAGGCGGAUCACGAAGUCAGGAGGUCGAGACCAUCCUAGCUAACACGGUGAAACCCCUUCUCUACAAAAAAUACACACACACACACACACACACACACACACAGAAGAAGCCGGGUGUGGUGGUGCAUGCCUGUAGUCCCAGCUACUCGGGAGGCUGAGGCAGGAGAAUCGCUUGAACCCAGGAGGCGAAGGUUGCAGUGAGCCGAGAUCGCGCCACUGCACUCCAGCCUGGGUGACCGAGCGAGACUCCGUCUCAAAAAAAAAAAAAAAGAAAAAAGAAUAGGGUUGCAGCUACUCCGGAGGCUGAGGCAUGAGAAUCACAUGAACCUGGGAGGCGAAAGCUGCAGUGAGCUGAGAUCGUGCCACUACACUCUAGCCUGGGCGACAGAGGGAGAGUCUGUCUCAAAAAAAUAAAAAAUAAAAAAGAUAGAAUAGGGUUAGAAGUACAGAGUUGGGAACCAUAUUCUGAGUUUGGAUUCUAGGUCUGCCACUUGCUUGCUGUGUGACCUUGAACAAGUCAUGAAGCUUCUUUGGGCUUCAGUUUACUUACCUGUGAAAUAGGGAUGAACAAUAGUACCUUUCUCAUAUGAUAGUUAUGAGGAUCAAAUAAAAUACAUAAAGCAUCUAAAAUAGUGCAUAGCACAUGGUGACAAUAUAACUAGCUCUGUUAUUACUAUUACAUGUAACAGGAUUCACCUGAAGCUCCAAAGGCCCAGGACAAUACACUCAGCCCUGCAGCUUUACACUUCCAGGGGGCACUAUUCACAUUAUAUUCUCUAUUCUUGUUAUAUUUUGUCUAAAUAAGACCCUGAGAGUUAUGCAGUGUACCAGUUUUGAAUGGAUACCAAGUACCCCCACAUUCCAAGGAGAGAUACAAGACCCAUAUUAUGCAGGACUUGCCAAAGGGAAAUCUGAAAUCUAAUUUUUGUGCCUUUUGCCAAUGCCCACCUUUAAAGUGUGAAAAAUCGGCUGGGCAUGAUGGCUCAUGUCUAUAAUCCCAACACCUUGGGAGGCUGAGGCAAGGGGAUCACUUGAGCCCAGAAGUUCAAGACCAGCCUGGGCAACAUAAUGAGACCCCCAUCUCCAAAAAAAAUUAAAAAAUAGUUGGGCAUGGUGCACACCUGUAGUCUCAGCUACUUGGGAGGCUGAGGUGGGAGGAUCUCUUGAGCCUAGGAGGUGGAGGCUGCAGUGAGCUAUGAUGGUGUCACUGUACUCCAGCCUGGGUGGCAGAGCAAGACCCUGUCUCAAGGAAGAGAUAAAGUAUGAAAAAAUUAAAGAUGCAAAUUAAGAGAAAAGAUUUCUGUGAAAAGAAUGCAUUUCAGGGAAAUACUCUGAGAACUUUUGAUCUGAGAGUUUGGGAAGCGUAAGGACUGCUCUGAGAAGCCGUCCCUAGGAGGACCUGAGGUGGCAGGGCAGAAAAAGAGACAGAGAGAAGGAGAGAGAAGCCUGCUGCAGGAGUUAACUGUGGGGGAAUCGUGUGACAUUUUUUCCCCAAGGGAUAAAUAGAUCUGUGGAGAGUGGACUGGAAGUUUUCUUCAAAGGGAAUGUGCCCAAGAGACUUCCCGGAGGAGCUAAAUGAUUCAGCACACAGACCCCCCAAAGAACGCAGUGGCAUCCUUACCUUCCAAACUGGAGAAGAGAUAUCUCUUGUCUCAUGGGAGUUGCAUGUGGAGGAUGCCAGCAAGGAGAAUCUCCAAGAUACCACAAAAAGUUCCCUCUAAGAGAAACAAUCAGCCUUGAGCAUGUCUAAGCCAGAAAGCACCAGAAUCAGAUCACCAUAAACCCAGCCAGAUAAAGGCUUCUGGCGUGGAAUAGGCCAAGCAGGAAGAGGAGGAAGCCAUGAUGUUGGUUGAAGUUGUGAAUUUCAAUCACGAUCCUGGACAUGAUAGUUUACAGAAACGAGGGUAUAAUUAGAUGAAAGUAACCAGACAACUCUUCAUUGUCUCAGAGUGACCAGAAAAGCUCUGGAAGAUGCCAGAGACUUCAUCUAGGUCAGGGAAAGAAAUAACCCAUAGAGAUGAUUUCAAGGUAACAGAUAAUGUUUUCUGUUUGUGCCUUAUCAAGUUCAGCUCACUUAAUAUACUGCUUUAAUAAUUAUAGAUAUUUGUAUGUAUGUGUUGCAGUGCCCUCAGUAAUGCAAAUUGGGAUAUGUGAAUUGGGGUAUGAUUGGCUCCUCUCCUUGGCAGGUAGAAUAACACCAGGCAGAGAAACAGCAGCCAGGCCCUUCACCAAACCAAAAGAUAGAGGAUGGGUGCCUUUCAGUCUGGUAUUUUGCUGGUCUAGUCUCCCCAAGAAUAGGUUGAUUUAAUGGUUGCCUACUAACUGGGAGAUUCCUAGAAACCCUGGCCUGGUCCCAGAAACCAGGACAGACACCACCAGGUGGCACCAAACUGUAGCCAAACUGAGAAGAGAUUGGACUGGACCCUAAAAACUCCCAGCGUAGGCUUUUGUUCAUCUGUCUCCAUUUAUACAAAUGGACGUGCGACAUUUAAGGCGGGUGAUGGAAGUCUUCAACAACUGGAUUGUGGUGCUGGUUGCACAGCUCUGUGAAUCAUUGAAUUGUACAUUAGUGAAUUUUAUGGUAUUUAAAUUAUACCUUAAUAAAGCUGUUUAAAAAAUUAUAAUUAAAAAACACAUAUGGCUGAGCGUGGUGUCUCAUGCCUGUAAUCCCAGCACUUUGGGAGACCGAGGUGGGUGGAUUACCUGAGGUCAGGAGUUCAAGACCAGCCUGGC